UGGAUAACUGUAGUAAUUCUAGAGCUAAUACAUGCCACUAUGCCCUGACCCGCGAGGGAACGGGUGGAUUUAUUAGAACAGAACCAACCGGUUGUGGCCUCGGUCACUUCCGUUGCACUCUGUGAUGACUCUGGAUAACUUCACUGAUCGCAGUCGGCCUUGUGUCGGCGACGGAUCUUUCAAAUGUCUGCCCUAUCAAUUUUCGAUGGUAGGUGACCUGCCUACCAUGGUGAUAACGGGUAACGGGGAAUCAGGGUUCGAUUCCGGAGAGGGAGCCUGAGAAACGGCUACCACUUCCAAGGAAGGCAGCAGGCGCGCAAAUUACCCAAUCCCGGCACGGGGAGGUAGUGACGAAAAAUACGGAUACGGGACUCAUCAGAGGCUCCGUAAUUCGAAUGAGUACACUUUAAAUCCUUUAACGAGGAUCAACUGGAGGGCAAGUCUGGUGCCAGCAGCCGCGGUAACUCCAGCUCCAGAAGCGUAUAUUAAAGUUGUUGCAGUUAAAAAGCUCGUAGUUGGAUCUGGGUCGCAUGGCUACAUGCUGCGCUCGUAUUUCCAAUCUGGUUACGACUGGAGCGGAUUUGUGAGUCAGUGUCGUGGUUGUGCAGCCUUUUUGCCGUGUCUGGUUUCCAGGUGCUGGCUAUCGGUGGGCUCGCCUCGCCGUUUAGUUGGCAUGCUUCUCGAUGCCU
rnacentral:rRNA from 1 species